rfam:Bacillus shackletonii strain LMG 18435 super11, whole genome shotgun sequence.
ACCACCUUUUAAAAUAAGUCCAGAGAGGCUUAAAAGGGUGUUUUAAUGUGCAUAUGGAACGAUUUAUUAAACAUAUUCACAUUAUGUAUAACACCCUGCUCUUGAUUGAAGCAGGGUGUUUUUUUAU